UACGGAGGGUGCGAGCGUUGUCCGGAAUCACUGGGCGUAAAGGGCGCGUAGGUGGCGACCCAAGUCAACGGGGAAAGCUCGGCGCUCAACGCCGAGUCGGCCGUCGAGACUGGGUGGCUCGAGCACUGUAGAGGCAGAUGGAAUUCCGGGUGUAGCGGUGGAAUGCGUAGAGAUCCGGAAGAACACCGGUGGCGAAGGCGGUCUGCUGGGCAGUAGCUGACACUGAGGCGCGACAGCGUGGGGAGCAAACAGG
rnacentral:rRNA from 1 species